rnacentral:misc_RNA from 1 species
GAUGAAGAACGUAGUGAAAUGCGAUAAGUAAUGUGAAUUGCAGAAUUCAGUGAAUCAUCGAAUCUUUGAACGCACAUUGCGCCCAUUAGUAUUCUAGUGGGCAUGCCUGUUCGAGCGUCAUUUCAACCCUCAAGCCUUAGUUGCUUGGUGUUGGGAGCUUAUCUUGCCGAAAGGCGGGACAACUCCUUAAAUUUAUCGGCGGAGUCGCGGUGACCCCAAGCGUAGUAAAUUAUUUUUUCCUCGCUUUAGGUGUUAACGCUGGCUUUUCUAGCCGUUAAACCCCCCCUAAUAUUUUAAUGGUUGACCUCGGAUCAGGUAGGACUACCCGCUGAACUUAAGCAUAUCAAUAAGCGGAGGA